rnacentral:lncRNA from 1 species
GUAAAAACAAAAAACUUGAAAGAUCUUUAAUUAUCAUACGGUAGCCAAUUAAUGUAAGGAAUUGCUAUGUAUACCAUCUGGGGUAGGACAGACUUUUCCUCUUUCUUACUGCAGUCCCUGGGUCGAAGUUCUGCACAAAAAGCUGUAGAUCAUGCAAUAUACCCACAAGGAUUCCAUCUAUUCAAUAAAAGAAGGCAGCCAAGAAAAGAGCCUCUUGAAAGGACAUGCGAAGAGGAUUAGAUAUCGGAAAAAAAAAGAGUGAUCAGGUCAGGAUAUGUACCUAAAAGGACGAG